rnacentral:piRNA from 1 species
UUGCAUGCCAUUUUGAUAUUAUAGCAUGGA